UCCUAGGCCCUGCGCAAUGACUAUUUGCGGGCAACUCGCCAGGGCGAAAGCAGCAACGGACUUGCGGAUUUUUAUGUGCUCAGGUAGCCUAGGAUUU
rfam:Fibrobacter sp. TWH6 genome assembly, contig: Ga0136285_106